ACUCAAAGGAAUAGACGGGGGCCCGCACAAGCGGUGGAGCAUGUGGUUCAAUUCGACGCAACGCGAAGAACCUUACCUGGGCUCGAACGGCUGCUGAAAGUUCCUGGAAACAGGGAUUCUCCCGCAAGGGACAGUAGUCGAGGUGCUGCAUGGCUGUCGUCAGCUCGUGUCGUGAGAUGUUGGGUUAAGUCCCGCAACGAGCGCAACCCUUGUCCUGUGUUGCUAAUCCGCAAGGAUGCACUCUCAGGAGACCGCCAGCGAUAAGUUGGAGGAAGGUGGGGAUGACGUCAAGUCAUCAUGGCCUUUAUGUCCAGGGCUACACACGUGCUACAAUGGGCGGUACAAUGCGCUGCAAACCCGCGAGGGGGAGCUAAUCGCAAAAAACCGUUCUCAGUUCGGAUUGCAGGCUGCAACUCGCCUGCAUGAAGCUGGAAUCGCUAGUAAUGGCAUAUCAGAACGAUGCCGUGAAUACGUUCCCGGGCCUUGCACACACCGCCCGU
rnacentral:rRNA from 1 species